rnacentral:rRNA from 1 species
AUUGAACGCUGGCGGGAGGCCUAACACAUGCAAGUAGAGCGGAGCGGCGGACGGGUGAGUAAUGUCUAGGAAUCUGCCUGGUAGUGGGGGAUAACUUCCCGAAACGGGCGCUAAUACCGCAUACUAUUGGAUCAGCCGAGAUCGGAUUAGCUAGUUGGUGGGGUAACGGCCUACCAAGGCGACGAUCCGUAGCUGGUCUGAGAGGAUGAUCAGUCACACUGGAACGGAGACACGGUCCAGACUCCUACGGGAGGCAGCAGUGGGGAAUAUUGGACAAUGGGCUAAAGCCUGAUCCAGCCAUGCCGCGUGUGUGAUGAAGGUCUUCGGAUUGUAAAGCACUUUAAGUUGGGAAGCGUUACCAACAGAAUAAGCACCGGCUAACUACGUGCCAGCAGCCGCGGUAAUUC